AGCAGCCGCGGUAAUUCCAGCUCCAAUAGCGUAUAUUAAAGUUGUUGCAGUUAAAAAGCUCGUAGUUGAAUUUCGGGAUCAAUAUGUCGGUCGUGCCUUCGGUACGUACUGGUAUCAUUGGUCUCUCCUUUCUGACGAACCAUGAUGUCAUUAAUUUGGUGUUAUGGGGAGUUAGGACUGUUACUUUGAAAAAUUAGAGUGUUUAAAGCAGGCUUUAGCUUGAAUACAUUAGCAUGGAAUAAUGAAAUAGGACGUUCGAACCUAUUUUGUUGGUUUCUAGGAUCAACGUAAUGAUUAAUAGGGAUAGUUGGGGGCAUUAGUAUUCAAUUGUCAGAGGUGAAAUUCUUGGAUUUAUUGAAGACUAACUGACUGCGAAAGCAUUUGCCAAGGAUGUUUUCAUUAAUCAAGAACGAAAGUUAGGGGAUCGAAGACGAUCAGAUACCGUCGUAGUCU
rnacentral:rRNA from 1 species